rnacentral:rRNA from 1 species
UACGUAGGGUGCAAGCGUUGUCCGGAAUUAUUGGGCGUAAAGAGCUCGUAGGCGGUCUGUUACGUCGGCUGUGAAAACCUGGGGCUCAACUCCGGGCCUGCAGCCGAUACGGGCAGACUAGAAUUCGGUAGGGGAGACUGGAAUUCCUGGUGUAGCGGUGAAAUGCGCAGAUAUCAGGAGGAACACCGGUGGUGAGACGGCUUCUGGCCGAACUGAUGACUG